ensembl:lncRNA
AAAUCACUGCUUAUGAAAUCUACUGUGUUAUCUAAUAGCACCAAACUAAUAGAGCUAUCACAUAACUGAGAAACUUGUGUGGCUUAUUACAAAUGGAUGAAACCACAUUUUACCUUAAUGAAGACAGUAAUAUUUAAUAAGGUGUAGAAAAAAGAGGUGAGUUGUUUGUUGCUGUGGUAAACAAAGAAGUGUACUGAAUCUUUUGGACUACACAGAGUGAUGCAGUAUUGACUCUGAUGCUGAUUUGAGUUGUCUCAUUCUGUAUUUUUGUGCUUUGUCUUUUGUUACACAGAGUGAACGAGAUCUUUGGUUUUGCCUUUGCUGACUGCUGAUCUGAUCGUCUCAAGUCUGAGGCUGCCCUGAGAACCCAGACUUCCUGUUUCCUGACUGCUGCAGAACAUCCAGCUGAAGAAUCUUCAUCGCCUGUCAUCUGAUCACCACACCAUCACUCAUAUUUGCUUAAAGUAUUAGAUAUCUUAAAGAUUUACACAAAGUCUACUUAAAAGUUAAGAGUUUUAUUAUAGACUGUUGAUUGUUGAGAUUUAUUCUGUAUAUUGCUUUACAGAAGUAUAGACCUAUUUGUUAUCCAGUCUGGUUAAAAAAAAUAGAAGUAACAAUAUACAGUUUUUGAAAAAGC